rnacentral:rRNA from 1 species
AAAUUGAAGAGUUUGAUCAUGGCUCAGAUUGAACGCUGGCGGCAGGCCUAACACAUGCAAGUCGAACGGUAACAGGAAGCAGCUUGCUGCUUCGCUGACGAGUGGCGGACGGGUGAGUAAUGUCUGGGAAACUGCCUGAUGGAGGGGGAUAACUACUGGAAACGGUAGCUAAUACCGCAUAAUGUCGCAAGACCAAAGAGGGGGACCUUCGGGCCUCUUGCCAUCGGAUGUGCCCAGAUGGGAUUAGCUUGUUGGUGGGGUAACGGCUCA